AUUGAACGCUGGCGGCAGGCCUAACACAUGCAAGUCGAGCGGCAGCGGGAAAGUAGCUUGCCACUUUUGCCGGCGAGCGGCGGACGGGUGAGUAAUGCCUGGGAAAUUGCCCAGUCGAGGGGGAUAACAGUUGGAAACGACUGCUAAUACCGCAUACGCCCUACGGGGGAAAGCAGGGGACCUUCGGGCCUUGCGCGAUUGGAUAUGCCCAGGUGGGAUUAGCUAGUUGGUGAGGUAAUGGCUCACCAAGGCGACGACCCCUAGCUGGUCUGAGAGGAUGAUCAGCCACACUGGAACUGAGACACGGUCCAGACUCCUACGGGAGGCAGCAGUGGGGAAUAUUGCACAAUGGGGGAAACCCUGAUGCAGCCAUGCCGCGUGUGUGAAGAAGGCCUUCGGGUUGUAAAGCACUUUCAGCGAGGAGGAAAGGUUGAUGCCUAAUACGUAUCAACUGUGACGUUACUCGCAGAAGAAGCACCGGCUAACUCCGUGCCAGCCGCCGCCGUAAUAC
rnacentral:rRNA from 1 species